AUAGCCCUGAACAAGAAAGAGGCCAAAGCUUUUAAAAAGAAACCCGAAUAACUUUCUCAGGGCUUUAGAUGACUCGUCAUUUAGUUUUUCUAUCGUUUGCACCAUUUUGACUCUUCUACACCCAAAUCAAUAGAUUCACCUUUCUUCACACCUGUUUCUUUCUACGGUUGAAGUUUUUUUUUUUGUGGGUUCUUUUUCUCAUAUCCAGCUCCGGCCUCUCCGAUCCACCUCACGUACCGUGGACCCCAUGCGGGUCUUGUUCCUGGCCUGCAGCAGGCUGUAAAGCACCCGGUCGUCUGGUCUCUCCGAGUGGCUGCGGUCGCCCGGCUCACUCCACAGGUGAGCAGUGUAAUUGAAACCGAUACUGGUGUUCUUACGGUACUAAAGGCUGCUUUUCAUCAUCGUCGCCGUCGUCCGCGACGCAGCAGCAGCAGCAGAACCUCCUGAAGACCGAACCCAUCUAGAGGCGGUGGGUUGUGCGGCUCCUCAAUGGUCGAUAAUUUAAGCCGGUAAUCUUUUUCUUUUACCGCAGAUCAACCUCCUUGGUUCAUCGAGCCUCAGUCGAGCUGAUUCCAGUGGAGGGUUCUGAUGGAGCCCAAAACACCUGCGUCCCAGCGGAUGGUUCCUUAAAGGAGGCGACCUUUCUCACAACCUUUGUUGAAAAGUAAAAGAUGUGGCAGAGUAAGGAGAGGCAGCUGUAAAAACAGGAGCAGGAAGAGCAACAAGUCUAAAAAGUUACAAACAAAAGGUCACGGAUCUCCAGACUCGACCUACUUCUCAUUCUCCCAACUGGAGGUCCCAGCACACGGCUCCACGUCCUGCCGAGUGAUCCGGGGCGUCCGGGCGGAGACGCUCAGGCAGACGGCAGCCGGAGGACUGACUGGUGCUUCUCCUCCGCCGCACAUGGAGAACAAUGAGACCAGUGAGACACACAAGUUCACAGAGCCUCAGAAGACGGUCACAACAGGAUCAUGUGAGCCGCUCCGUGUCCUGUCCCAAGCAUCGCGCCCCGAGGACAACACAACAGGAGGCCUGAUAUUCAAUAUACCACGGCUCCAUUUGUUUAAGGCUUAUCCAACGGCCCGGUCAUGUGCUCACUGAGGUUAUUUAUACGUGGAUCUGUACAAGGAUUAAAAGAGAAUUGUCGGGUUGCUUUCGGUUACCGGAGUUUUGUCUUCUUUUUUAAAAAAAAGUCUGCAUUAUGAACUUGUUACCCGGGAAAACUAUAAAGCACCUAGGCCUAUAUUUAAAAUAAGCGAGUCAGAUUAUUGGAAUCAAAUACAACCAACCACUAAAUUUGGUUGUAAUAAUGUUUAAACUACCAAACAGGAAGCGCUCGUCUUUAGCAGCAGCAACCUGAAUGAGAAUAUGAUUCUCAUAUUGAUGCUUCAAUAAUUAAAUCCAAUAACAUACUUUAUACUGCACGAUAACUUUUAUUCUAAGUGUAUUUUCUUUUCCACGGUUUCACACGUUAACUAGAGUAAUAGUUAUAACCACAUGUAUUACACUGCCUCUCACACAACAUUACUAAUAAUAUAUCUUUUUCACACAAUUCAUUUUCCAGAUAGUUAACACCUACACGACAGUGACCCUUUGACCUUUAAUGAGAGUUGUAUCAGUCAUGGUUCAGAUUUUCCCUUUGAUUUUGAAUCCAGGCCUUGAUGAGUUAAACGUUGCUUCAUCUUGUUCUUUACAAAUUACACAAUGAAGAUAUCAAUAUAUAAAAGAAAGAUCUUAAAACCGACAUCGACACAUUAAUUGUGCGGCCCCAUUAACUGUAUUUGUGCGAUUAUUUUCAAGCGAGACACAUUCUACAUCACUUGCUGUAAUUGAUUCACAAUGAGGGAACGAAUAAAUAAUCAGAUAGCGCACAUCAAUACAUCCGUACAAAUUAGAUACCAAGUAUAAAUAAAUGAAGCUAGAGGUCUAUAACAACUGUUUGGUUUGUCUGCAAGUCAAAUUAGACCAGAAGCUGCAACGCUGAUAUGUUCAUAGAUUUUAUUAGACAUAAGACACUGGUUAAGACUUAAAAAGUGGUGAUCAGUAUUCCUAUGAUGGAUUUAAAUUAACAUGUUGGAUCAAUAUUCCAUAGACUCAUUUAAAGUGUUGUAAAAAAUAUAUUUUUAAAGAAAACCAGUACUCUCUGCAGCCUUCAUAUACAUACAGUACAGUGUGUGUUAAGCAUUGAUUCAACAGUAUGAAAUACAUGUAGAGCAGAAGAAAAGGCUGACCUGUAAUGUCACAUGUGGUAAAGGCACCAAAUUGUUAAUAACAUAAAUUUCAUUUGAAAUUCUCUGAGCACAGUAGGUCACUAAAAUGACUCAAAUCUACUGUUAAAUCUCAAUGUCCACUUGUCUUGGACAUGGACUGGAACAAUAACAACCAGAUUGUGAUGUCAUCGUUCACACCUAACUGGGUUUACUAAAGUAAAACGGGCGUGUUGGGACAGUGAUGUGCUGAAGGACCACAUCUGCAUCAAAACCUCACAAUUACACCGGUGAGUCGAGGAGGAACGAGUCUGCUGCACUGCCCCCAGAUCUACACCCGCCCCGCGAUGUAACGCUUCAUCGGUACUUCCCUGGUCACCAGACAGGCGGGCUUUCUGUAAUCCUGCAAAAAGAAAAACGUUACCUCCUCGACGGGGCCGAACUUCAGGAACUCAGAAGAACUCAAAGUGAAUCGCGACCACGUGACUAAUAACGCGCCGGCCGUUUCGCCGGAAGGCCUCCAGAGGUCAUCAGCACCAAAGAGAACAAAGUAUGCGCCGACCUACGUGGUGAAGCCCGUCGCCAUUGGUCUUCUUCGGGAGUUGGAUAAUUCCUUUAGCACACAGAGUAAUUAAGAGCUGCCUUUGUUAGCGCCGGACUCCCAAAAGUACAAAACAAAAGCAGUAUUUAAAACCCUCAGUAAACUUUGUUAACUGAUUUCUGCUGCCUAACGCAGUCGGACUGUGUGUGUGUGUGUGUCAGUGGUCUCCAUCUAGUGGUAAUUGGUCUGCAGGUGACUCCCCCCCCGCCCCCAUCUAUCACUGUGUAGUGAAGGAGAAUAAAGUGUGGAAAUCAACCAAAUCAACCUACUAAAAUGGUGCUGUCAAAACAGAGAAAAUAAGCCAAACAAGAAACUAAAGCAAAAGAAUUGACGGCGAACCAUUCGUGCAGUGCGACAAGACCCAGAGGGACAGCUGCUUCUGGGCGCAGACCUCCUCCCCGUUUUUCUGGUUCCAGCCACAAGACGGCUUCCGCAACCAGGAAGUUCUGAUUGCACGGC